GAUGAAGAACGUAGCGAAAUGCGAUAAGUAAUGUGAAUUGCAGAAUUCAGUGAAUCAUCGAAUCUUUGAACGCACAUUGUGCCCCCUGGUAUUCCGGGGGGCAUGCCUGUCCGAGCGUCAUUACAACCCUCAAGCUCAGCUUGGUGUUGGGCCCCGCCGCCCCGGCGGGCCCUAAAGUCAGUGGCGGUGCCGUCCGGCUCCGAGCGUAGUAAUUCUUCUCGCUCUGGAGGCCCGGUCGUGUGCUCGCCAGCAACCCCCAAUUUUUUUCAGGUUGACCUCGGAUCAGGUAGGGAUACCCGCUGAACUUAAGCAUAUCAAUAAGCGGAGGA
rnacentral:misc_RNA from 1 species